CUCCACCAGCUGCAGAUAUGAUCCAGAUCCCCAUGAUUGUCAGAAGUGAAAGUGAAAGAUUUAAAACUAAAACAAAGUAAAGCAAAACCCUAGUGUGAGGGGGAAAAAAGCUCAGUGGGAAGGAAGAAAAGAAAGAACCCCCAGGUUGUGAAGAAAAAUAAAUAUUAAAAAGUUCAUCUUCCCUACCAUUGCACCCCGCCUACCAAGGAAAAUACUUGAACGACUAUUCCAUCGGAGGAGGGAUAACCUGUGACAAUGAUACUUAAAAACCUUUCCUGAAGCCUCAUCUAUAAUAUCCUUGGGAGAAGAAUGGGGAAGCAAAAGGAGACAGAGGGAGAAGAAGAGGAAGAAGAGGAAGGAGAAGAAGUGUGAAUAAGGAGGAGGAGGGGGGAGAGGAAGAGGAGGGAAAGGAGGGAAAGGCAGAGAAGAAAAGGAGGAGGAGAUACAGAAUACAAGAUUCCGAAGGUGUCUGUAUUCAUAUGCUACUUCUGCAGAACUGAAGUUGAAGAUCAUCUUAAAGGCAAUGUUGAGGCACAUAGUGGAUGCAAAUAGACUGUUCACAGGAAGAGCAGUGCUUCAGAUAUCAUCAGUGAUAAUGUAUUACCAGGAAAAAAAUGGACUGGUGAUAUAUUGAGAGCAAGAGAUAAUCAAUGGAAAGUUUCUUUGCUUCACUGAUAAACACGCACUGUGAAGAAAUAUAGAGACUCCAGCACCUUGGAUGAA
rnacentral:lncRNA from 1 species